rnacentral:rRNA from 1 species
GCCUGCCCAGUGACAAAGUUCAACGGCCGCGGAAUCCUGACCGCGCGAAGGUAGCAUAAUCACUUGUUUCCUAAAUAGAGACUAGUAUCAACGGCACCACGAGGGUUACACUGUCUCCCACCCCCAAUCAGUGAAACUGAUCUCCCCGUGAAGAAGCGGGGAUAACCCUAUAAGACGAGAAGACCCUAUGGAGCUUCAGGCAACUGGGCACCCUACCCCAAAUAAAACCACAUACAAACAAGAUCUGCCAACUAGCCUUUGGUUGGGGCGACCGCGGAGUAAGACAAAACCUCCACAACAAACAGAACUAUAUCUUAAUCCAAGAGCCACCGCUCAAUGAAUUGAUAAAUCAACGUAAAAUGACCCGAUAAUCGAUCAAUGAACCAAGUUACCCUAGGGAUAACAGCGCAAUCCAUUUCCAGAGCCCUUAUCAACAAAUGGGUUUACGACCUCGAUGUUGGAUCAGGGUAUCCUAGUGGUGCAGCCGCUACUAAAGGUUCGUUUGUUCAACGAUUAAAACCCUAC